GUGUCAGCAGCCGCGGUAAUACGAAGGGGGCUAGCGUUGCUCGGAAUGACUGGGCGUAAAGGGCGCGUAGGCGGUUCACACAGUCAGGCGUGAAAUUCCUGGGCUUAACCUGGGGGCUGCGCUUGAUACAUGUGGACUUGAGUGUGGAAGAGGGUCGUGGAAUUCCCAGUGUAGAGGUGAAAUUCGUAGAUAUUGGGAAGAACACCGGUGGCGAAGGCGGCGACCUGGUCCAUUACUGACGCUGAGGCGCGAAAGCGUGGGGAGCAAACAGGAUUAGAAACCCUGGUAGUCC
rnacentral:rRNA from 1 species